rnacentral:rRNA from 1 species
UGGGGAAUUUUGGACAAUGGGCGCAAGCCUGAUCCAGCCAUGCCGCGUGCGGGAAGAAGGCCUUCGGGUUGUAAACCGCUUUUGUCAGGGAAGAAAUCUUCUGAGUUAAUACCUCGGGAGGAUGACGGUACCUGAAGAAUAAGCACCGGCUAACUACGUGCCAGCAGCCGCGGUAAUACGUAGGGGUGCAAGCGUUAAUCGGAAUUACUGGGCGUAAAGCGUGCGCAGGCGGUUUUGUAAGACAGAGGGUGAGAUCCCCGGGCUCAACCUGGGAACUGCCUUUGUGACUGCAAGGCUUGAGUGCGGCAGAGGGGGGAUGGAAUUCCCGCGUGUAGCAGUGGAAAUUGCGUAGAUAUGCGGAGGGACACCGAUGGCGAAGGCAAUCCCCUGGGCCUGCACUGACGCUCAUGCACG